UCGGGUGCGAGUAAAGUGGCAAACGGGUGAGUAACGCGUGGGAAUCUACCUAAUAGUACGGGAUAGCCAUUGGAAACGAUGAUUAAUACCGUAUACGCUCUUCGGAGGAAAGAUUUAUUGCUAUUAGAUGAGCCCGCGUUAGAUUAGCUAGUUGGUGGGGUAAUGGCUCACCAAGGCUGCGAUCUAUAGCUGGUCUGAGAGGAUGAUCAGCCACACUGGAACUGAGACACGGACCAGACUCC
rnacentral:rRNA from 1 species